rnacentral:tRNA from 1 species
ACUCAUAGGUCUUGAAACAAUUCAUUGUAUUUAUCAAAUCCAAUAAACCGUUUAUAUUCACUAGUAUACCCCAACCCUAUAUUU